GAUGAACGCUGGCGGCGUGCUUAAUACAUGCAAGUCGAACGGAGAGUAGCAAUACUCUUAGUGGCGAACGGGUGAGUAACGCGUUGGUAACCUGCCCCGAAGCGGGGGAUAACGGCUCGAAAGGGCCGCUAAUACCGCAUGUGAUCUCUUGAAAUAGUGGAUAGAGAUGAAAGGCGAAAGUCGCUUCGGGAGGGGCCUGCGUCCCAUCAGCUAGUUGGUAGGGUAAAAGCCUACCAAGGCGACGACGGGUAGGGGGCCUGAGAGGGUGAUCCCCCACAUUGGCACUGAAACACGGGCCAAACACCUACGGGUGGCAGCAGUAGGGAAUAUUGCACAAUGGACGAAAGUCUGAUGCAGCAACGCCGCGUGUGCGAUGAAGGCCUUCGGGUCGUAAAGCACUUUUCUGGAGGACGAGGAAGGACGGUACUUCAGGAAUAAGGAUCGGCUAACUACGUGCCAGCAGCCGCGGUAAGCACGAGAGUA
rnacentral:rRNA from 1 species